AAGAGAAUGAUUAAACAAUUAAAAGCUUUCUUUAAUUGAAUAAUUGAAUUUAAUUUUUUAGUGCAAAAGCAAAAAUAAAAAUUAGGGACAAGAAGACCCUAUGAAUUUUUAUUAAAUUUUAUAAAACUUUAUAUAAAAUUUAAUUUAAUUGGGGUGAUGGAAAAAGAAUAAAUAUCUUUUUUUUUAAAAAAAAUUGGUUCCGUUUUUAGCGAUUAAAUGAAAAAAAUACUCUAGGGAUAACAGCGUAAUAAUUUUGGAUAGUUCAUAUAGAUAAAAUAGUUUGCGACCUCGAUGUUGGAUUAGGAUUCUUUUUUGGUGAAGAAGUUAAAAAAAGAAGUUUGUUCAACUUAUAAUUUCCU
rnacentral:rRNA from 1 species